rnacentral:misc_RNA from 1 species
AUUUAUAGAUAAAAUUUUAGCUGUCGGUGAGAUUAAUUAGGUAGAGUAUGUUGUCACCGGUGGUGUUUUUGGUGUUUCUAUUUGUAAUUUCUCCGGCGGCGCCGGCGGCAGUGGUGGGUGACGGCGGAAUGACGAUGACGUUGCAGUUAGAAAGGGCUUUUCCGACGAGUCAUGGAGUUGAAUUGAGUCAACUGAAAGCGCGUGACCGAGUAAGACAUGGACGAAUCUUGCAGCAAUUUCCUAAUGGGGUUGUUGAUUUUCCAGUUGAAGGCACUUAUGAUCCAUUUCUUGUUGGGCUUUACUUUACAAGAGUUCAGUUGGGUUCCCCUCCAAAGGAAUUCUAUGUACAGAUUGAUACUGGAAGUGAUGUGUUGUGGGUUAGUUGUGCAUCUUGUAAUGGUUGCCCAACAUCUAGUGGACUUCAGAUUCAGUUAGAAUUCUUUGAUCCAUCAAGCUCAUCAACAGCUCGACCGAUCUCAUGUUCAGACCAAAGAUGUGCUCUUGGAGAACAAUCUUCCGACUCUGGGUGUUCUACCCGAAAUCAGUGCGGUUAUACGUUCCAAUAUGGUGAUGGCAGUGGGACAUCAGGUUAUUAUGUAGCAGAUUUAAUGCAUUUUGAUACAAUCGUGGGGAAUUCUUUGACGACAAACUCGUCUGCUCCUGUUGUUUUUGGAUGUAGCACAUCACAGACAGGUGACCUAACUAAACCCGACAGAGCAAUUGAUGGGAUCUUUGGAUUCGGGCAGCAGGGCUUGUCGGUUAUUGCACAACUUUCCUCCCAAGGAGUGACCCCGAAUGUGUUUUCCCAUUGCUUGAAAGGAAGUAAUGGCGGGGGUGGUAUCUUGGUGCUAGGUCAGAUUGUGGAGCCAAAUUUAGUUUACACUCCACUUGUCCCAUCACAGCCACAUUACAACUUGAAUCUUGAGACUAUUGCUCUCAAUGGGCAGACAUUGGCCAUUAGUCCACAAGUAUUUGAAACAUCAAGCAACAGGGGAACCAUAGUUGAUUCCGGAACAACUCUGGCUUAUCUUGCUGAAGAAGCUUAUGAAGUUUUUGUUAAUGCUGUCAGUCAGGCUGUUUCACAGAAUGUGCGCCCUCUUGUUGCCAGGGGAAACCAGUGUUAUCUAACCACCUCCAGCGUUGGUGAUAUAUUUCCCAUGGUGAGUUUGAACUUUGCCGGUGGUGCAACAAUGGUAUUAAGGGGUGACGACUACCUUAUACAGCAAAACUCCAUUGGUGGUGCUGCUGUCUGGUGCAUGGGCUUUCAGAAAAUUCCGGGUCAAGGAUUGACAAUUUUAGGAGACCUUGUUCUAAAAGACAAGAUUAUAGUUUACGAUCUGGCUGGACAACGGAUUGGAUGGGCCAACUACGAUUGUUCGCAAGCUGUUAAUGUUUCUGCUACCACGAGCAGAGGGAAAACUGAGUAUGUCAAUGCAGGACAGAUUGGUAACAGUUCACCACGUAACGACCCUUACACGCUGCUAUUAAGCGUCAUUCUAACUUUCGUGUUGCAAGCAUUAGCCUUCGGCACUUACUCAUUCUUGUAACAGUUUGGUAUUGUGGAAGUCAACUGUUAAAUUCUUUCUCAUUUUUGUAUAGCCCGCUGUCCUACUAUAGUUAUUUAUUUUACCGCGGUCGAUAAAGAUUUAGAUUUCUUUUAUAGUAGUAGCCCUAGUUCUGUUGUUUGUUCAGACAGUGUCCUAGUUCCACAAAUA